CUGAUGCAGUGGCCGCCUCGGCGGUGCUCGUGACUCCUGGCUUGAGGGACGACAGCAUUUUUAACACCGACGACGAUGAAGCUGGUGCGGCAGAUUACUAACCCAAGGAUGAUGUUAGGACGAGGUGACUCAAGACCUGCAAAACAAAGCACCGUGUGAAUUUUAGACUCUAAAUUCAGCUUCCGUCCUUCAGAGGUGCACUCUCUCAAGGGCAGCAGUGGGGAAUGUUUUAAUAGGUAGAAGCAAGAAAUUCUGUGGCAAAAUAAAAGCAAGUGUUUGAA